UGCCACCUUAGCUCAGUUGGUAGAGCAAAGGACUGAAAAUCCUUGUGUCUAGAGUUCGAUUCUCUGAGGUGGCAA
rnacentral:tRNA from 1 species